AAGACUAGAUCUUUUAUCGGUUCUAGCCUUAUUCCUAGAUAAACAAAAAAAAUAAAGAGGCAUGAGCUAUACUAGCUAUUGGAUUCUGACCACAUAGUGAAAAAUAAUUUUUAAAAUUUUUAAAAUCAAAUAAGUCAAUAGCUUUAAUAAUUAAAACUAUUGAGCUGAAUCCAAAAUCCUAGAAUCACCUUGCCAAUAUCGAUAAAACAAAACAAGCAUGCAACA
rnacentral:lncRNA from 1 species